rnacentral:rRNA from 1 species
CCUACGGGAGGCAACAGUAGGGAAUUUUGCGCAAUGGGCGAAAGCCUGACGCAGCAACGCCGCGUGAUCGAGACGCCCUUCGGGGUGUAAAGAUCUGUCAGUGGGGACGAAACUUGACGGUACCCACAGAGGAAGCACCGGCUAACUCCGUGCCAGCAGCCGCGGUAAUACGGGGGGUGCAAGCGUUGUCCGGAAUCACUGGGCGUAAAGAGUUCGUAGGCGGCACGUAAAGUCUGGUGUUAAAGGCAGAGGCUCAACAUCUGUACGGCACUGGAUACUUGCGAGCUAGAGUGCGGUAGAGGUAAAGGGAAUUCCUGGUGUAGCGGUGAAAUGCUUAGAUAUCAGGAGGAACAUCGGUGGCGAAGGCGCUUUACUGGGCCGUAAUUGACGCUGAGGAACGAAAGCCAGGGUAGCAAAUGGGAUUAGAUACCCUUGUAGUC